rnacentral:rRNA from 1 species
UACGUAGGGUGCGAGCGUUAAUCGGAAUUACUGGGCGUAAAGGGCGCGCAGGCGGCCCUUGAAGUCAGGCGUGAAAGCCCCGGGCUCAACCUGGGAGGUGCGCUUGAUACUCGAGGGCUUGAGUGCGGGAGAGGAGAGUGGAAUUCCCAGUGUAGAGGUGAAAUUCGUAGAUAUUGGGAAGAACACCGGUGGCGAAGGCGGCUCUCUGGACCGUAACUGACGCUGAGGCGCGAAAGCGUGGGGAGCGAACAGG